rnacentral:rRNA from 1 species
AAAUUGAAGAGUUUGAUCAUGGCUCAGAUUGAACGCUGGCGGCAGGCCUAACACAUGCAAGUCGAACGGUAACAGGAAGCAGCUUGCUGCUUUGCUGACGAGUGGCGGACGGGUGAGUAAUGUCUGGGAAACUGCCUGAUGGAGGGGGAUAACUACUGGAAACGGUGGCUAAUACCGCAUAACGUCGCAAGACCAAAGAGGGGGACCUUCGGGCCUCUUGCCAUCAGAUGUGCCCAGAUGGGAUUAGCUUGUUGGUGAGGUAACGGCUCACCAAGGCGACGAUCCCUAGCUGGUCUGAGAGGAUGACCAGCCACACUGGAACUGAGACACGGUCCAGACUCCUACGGGAGGCAGCAGUGGGGAAUAUUGCACAAUGGGCGCAAGCCUGAUGCAGCCAUGCCGCGUGUAUGAAGAAGGCCUUCGGGUUGUAAAGUACUUUCAGCGGGGAGGAAGGUGUUGCGGUUAAUAACCGCAGCAAUUGACGUUACCCGCAGAAGAAGCACCGGCUAACUCCGUGCCAGCAGCCGCGGUAAUACGGAGGGUGCAAGCGUUAAUCGGAAUUACUGGGCGUAAAGCGCACGCAGGCGGUCUGUCAAGUCGGAUGUGAAAUCCCCGGGCUCAACCUGGGAACUGCAUUCGAAACUGGCAGGCUUGAGUCUUGUAGAGGGGGUAGAAUUCCAGGUGUAGCGGUGAAAUGCGUAGAGAUCUGGAGGAAUACCGGUGGCGAAGGCGGCCCCCUGGACAAAGACUGACGCUCAGGUGCGAAAGCGUGGGGAGCAAACAGGAUUAGAUACCCUGGUAGUCCACGCCGUAAACGAUGUCUACUUGGAGGUUGUGCCCUUGAGGCGUGGCUUCCGGAGCUAACGCGUUAAGUAGACCGCCUGGGGAGUACGGCCGCAAGGUUAAAAUCAAAUGAAUUGACGGGGGCCCGCACAAGCGGUGGAGCAUGUGGUUUAAUUCGAUGCAACGCGAAGAACCUUACCUGGUCUUGACAUCCACAGAACUUUCCAGAGAUGGAUUGGUGCCUUCGGGAACUGUGAGACAGGUGCUGCAUGGCUGUCGUCAGCUCGUGUUGUGAAAUGUUGGGUUAAGUCCCGCAACGAGCGCAACCCUUAUCCUUUGUUGCCAGCGAUUAGGUCGGGAACUCAAAGGAGACUGCCAGUGAUAAACUGGAGGAAGGUGGGGAUGACGUCAAGUCAUCAUGGCCCUUACGACCAGGGCUACACACGUGCUACAAUGGCGCAUACAAAGAGAAGCGACCUCGCGAGAGCAAGCGGACCUCAUAAAGUGCGUCGUAGUCCGGAUUGGAGUCUGCAACUCGACUCCAUGAAGUCGGAAUCGCUAGUAAUCGUGGAUCAGAAUGCCACGGUGAAUACGUUCCCGGGCCUUGUACACACCGCCCGUCACACCAUGGGAGUGGGUUGCAAAAGAAGUAGGUAGCUUAACCUUCGGGAGGGCGCUUACCACUUUGUGAUUCAUGACUGGGGUGAAGUCGUAACAAGGUAACCGUAGGGGAACCUGCGGUUGGAUCACCUCCUUA